rnacentral:rRNA from 1 species
AUUGAACGCUAGCUGCAGGCCUAACACAUGCCAGUCGAACGAGUGCCGGACGGGUGAGUAAUGUCUGGGAAACUGCCUGAUGGAGGGGGAUAACUACUGGAAACGGUAACUAAUACAGCAUACCAUCGGAUGUGCCCAGAUGGGCUUGGCUAGUAGGUGGGGUAACGGCUCACGUAGGCGACGAUCACUAGCUGGUCUGAGAGGAUGACCAGCCACACUGGACGUGAGACACGGUCCAGACUCCUACGGUGGGCAGCAGUGGGGAAUAUUGCACAAGGGGCGCAAGCCGGAUGCAGCCAUGCCGCGUGUAUGAAGAAGUCCUUCGGGUUGUAAAGGACUUUCAGCGGGGAGGCGUUACCCGAAGAAGAAGCACCGGCUAACUCCGUGCCAGCAGCCGCGGUAAUUC